rnacentral:rRNA from 1 species
GAACGCUGGCGGCAUGCCUUACACAUGCAAGUCGAACGGCAGCACGGGAGCAAUCCUGGUGGCGAGUGGCGAACGGGUGAGUAAUAUAUCGGAACGUGCCCAGUCGUGGGGGAUAACGUAGCGAAAGCUACGCUAAUACCGCAUACGAUCUAUGGAUGAAAGCGGGGGAUCGCAAGACCUCGCGCGAUUGGAGCGGCCGAUAUCAGAUUAGGUAGUUGGUGAGGUAAAGGCUCACCAAGCCGACGAUCUGUAGCUGGUCUGAGAGGACGACCAGCCACACUGGGACUGAGACACGGCCCAGACUCCUACGGGAGGCAGCAGUGGGGAAUUUUGGACAAUGGGCGCAAGCCUGAUCCAGCAAUGCCGCGUGCAGGAUGAAGGCCUUCGGGUUGUAAACUGCUUUGUACGGAACGAAACGGUGAGCUCUAAUACAGUUUGCUAAUGACGGUACCGUAAGAAUAAGCACCGGCUAACUACGUG